rnacentral:lncRNA from 1 species
AUACAGCUUUAAACAAUAGAUCUACUUUGCUCAUCCUUUUCAAAUUCUACAAGAUGGGGUCAUAGAUAUACCUUCUUCAUGCCAAUCUUCUAUAAGGGUUUUCCUGUGGACUAACUUUGGUCAAUGAAGAUACCCCUUUCUUGUUUGUCUUAAUUUGGAGUUUGAGAGAAGAUGUUAAUUCAUUCAUCAUAUAUACUUCAAACUCACCUUACAUGAGCUAAGUAAAAUCUUCAUAUAACUCUUCAUUAGUAGAACCAAAAAUGAUGUCAUCAAUGCAUACUUUGAGCAAAUAAGAUAUCACAAAUUCUUAUUUUUGAUGCAUAGAUUUAUCACUAUUACUUUCUAUCAAAAAGGUUACUUAAGCUUUUAUAUAUCAUGCUUUUGAUGCUUGUUCCAAAUCACAUAUUGCUUUAUCAUAUAUGUAAUGUGUAAUCUUUAAAUAUGGUGGUUAUUUUACAUAGAUCCCCUUUUUUUAAUGAAAUAACCACAUAGGAGUGAAUUCUACACAUUCAUUUGACAGAUUAUAAAGCUCAUGAGGCAAACAAAUGAUAAUGGUGAUCUUUACUUCUAAUCAUGCAAAAGUCUUAUCAAGAUCUAU